rnacentral:rRNA from 1 species
AGAGAUGUGUGAUGACGCAUAUCAAUAAGCGGAGGAAAAGAAACUAACUAAGGAUUCCCUUAGUAACGGCGAGUGAAGCGGGAAGAGCUCAAAUUUGAAAUCUUCAAGGUUUUACCUUGACGAAUUGUAGUUUAAAGAAGUGUUUUCUGUUGGAGUUUUGGUAAAAGUUCUUUGGAAUAGGACAUCAUAGAGGGUGGGAAUCCCGUAUUUGACCAUUAUUUUCAGCUGUGUGAUACACUUUCAAAGAGUCGGAUUGUUUGGGAAUGCAGUCCAAAAUGGGUGGUAAAUUUCAUCUAAAGCUAAAUAUUGGCGAGAGACCGAUAGCGAACAAGUACCGUGAGGGAAAGAUGAAAAGAACUUUGAAAAGAGAGUUAAACAGUACGUGAAAUUGUCAAAAGGGAAGCGUUUGACACCAGUGUUGUCUUUCCGAAAAUCAAUUACGAAUGUUUUAUUUUUGAGAAGUUAUGACUUCAUCGGCUUGCUUCUCUCUUUAUGAAACUUUCUUAAUGCACUUUUCGGUUAACAAGUCAACAUCAAUUUCUUUUGUUGUAAAAGGGUAUGAGGAAGGUGGCUUUCUUUUCGGAGAAAGUGUUUAUAGCCUUGUACCUCUGCAAUCGGAGAGAUUGAGGUCUGCAGCGUAGAUCCUUCGGGGUUAGAUACAUUUGUGCUAAGUUAUAGCUUUUCAUAGACAACUUGUUGACUAUGUUUAGUCUUGUAGCUUACUCGCUUAUGCUAUUUUACCUACGCUUAGGAUGUUGAAGAUGUAGCACAUCAU